UACAGAGGGUGCAAGCGUUAAUCGGAAUUACUGGGCGUAAAGCGCGCGUAGGUGGUUUGUUAAGUUGGAUGUGAAAGCCCCGGGCUCAACCUGGGAACUGCAUCCAAAACUGGCAAGCUAGAGUAGGGCAGAGGGUGGUGGAAUUUCCUGUGUAGCGGUGAAAUGCGUAGAUAUCUGGAGGGACACCGGUGGCGAAGGCAGCAUCCUGGACCGGUAUUGACGCUGAUGCGCGAAAGCCAGGGGAGCAAACGGG
rnacentral:rRNA from 1 species